GUGAAUCAUCAAAUUUUUGAACGCAAAUUGCACUCUCUGGUAUUCCGGAGAGUAUGCCUGUUUGAGGGUCAGUUUAAAUAAAAAUCGGUUUGGUUGCUGCCUUUCUUGGUUACGCACCGGAUUUUGGUCGUCUUGCCUUCGGUUAAGUGACCUAAAAUUUUGCAUGAUUUUUUUCGAAGGUAUUUAAAUGAAUUUACGUACGUUGCCGUUAUAGAAUACUAGGUGUGGUCAUCCUAAU
rnacentral:misc_RNA from 1 species